rnacentral:rRNA from 1 species
GUCUGACGGAGCAACGCCGCGUGAGUGAUGAAGGCUUUCGGGUCGUAAAACUCUGUUGUUAGGGAAGAACAAGUGCUAGUUGAAUAAGCUGGCACCUUGACGGUACCUAACCAGAAAGCCACGGCUAACUACGUGCCAGCAGCCGCGGUAAUACGUAGGUGGCAAGCGUUAUCCGGAAUUAUUGGGCGUAAAGCGCGCGCAGGUGGUUUCUUAAGUCUGAUGUGAAAGCCCACGGCUCAACCGUGGAGGGUCAUUGGAAACUGGGAGACUUGAGUGCAGAAGAGGAAAGUGGAAUUCCAUGUGUAGCGGUGAAAUGCGUAGAGAUAUGGAGGAACACCAGUGGCGAAGGCGACUUUCUGGUCUGUAACUGACACUGAGGCGCGAAAGCGUGGGGAGCAAACAGGAUUAGAUACCCUGGUAGUCCACGCCGUAAACGAUGAGUGCUAAGUGUUAGAGGGUUUCCGCCCUUUAGUGCUGAAGUUAACGCAUUAAGCACUCCGCCUGGGGAGUACGGCCGCAAGGCUGAAACUCAAAGGAAUUGACGGGGGGCCCGCACAAGCGGUGGAGCAUGUGGUUUUAUUC